rnacentral:rRNA from 1 species
AGCUUGGUGGUUAUAGCAUGAGUGAAACACACGAUCCCAUCCCGAACUCGAACGUGAAACCUCAUAGCGCUAAUGGUACUAU